CCUACGGGCGGCAGCAGUGAGGAAUAUUGGUCAAUGGGCGCGAGCCUGAACCAGCCAAGUAGCGUGAAGGAUGACUGCCCUACGGGUUGUAAACUUCUUUUAUAAAGGCAUAAAGUGAGCCACGUGUGCCUUUUUGUAUGUACUUUAUGAAUAAGGAUCGGCUAACUCCGUGCCAGCAGCCGCGGUAAUACGGAGGAUCCGAGCGUUAUCCGGAUUUAUUGGGUUUAAAGGGAGCGUAGAUGGGUUGUUAAGUCAGUUGUGAAAGUUUGCGGCGCAACCGUAGAAUUGCAAUUGAUACUGGCAGCCUUGAGUACAGUGGAGGUAGGCGGAAUUCGUGGUGUAGCGGUGAAGUGCUUAGAGAUCAGGGAGAACUCCGAUUGCGAAGGCAGCUUACUAAACUGCCACUGACAUUGAUGCUCGAAAGGGGGGGGAGCAAACAGGAUGAGAUACCCUUGUAGGC
rnacentral:rRNA from 1 species